UGAAUAUAUUGCUUCUACAUUGGUUUUAUGUAUAGAGUUAGCUAUCAAGUUGCCAGCUACAAUUUAACUAACUACAUUUGAACAACUAGCUGUUCAACUAAUACCCAUAACUAAUUAUUUCAGCUAAGCUUUUCUAACUAAUUUCAAUCACCUAUAUUUUCAGUUCCACCUCCAGCUUCAGCUUCGAUCACAGGGUUUUGCUACAUCAUAUUGCUGACUUGUAACAACUCUCUUCAAGAUGGACUUGUGUUAAUCCAUGAUUCCGAUCUUGUUAAGUAGGAAAGAAAACUGUUUUGCUCCCAAAGCUUUCAUUAAAAUGUCUACUAGUUGGUGUUUAGAAAAAAACAUGAACUCUUUUAAUUAAACCUUUCUGUAGCUUCUCUCUAAUGAUAUAACAAUCUAUAUCUAUGAGUUUUGUCAUCUCAUAAAAACUGGAUUGAUAGCUAUGUGCAAUGCUGUAUUAUUGUUGCAGUACAUUAAUGUAGGCUUU
rnacentral:lncRNA from 1 species